AUUGAACGCUGGCGGAAUGCUUUACACAUGCAAGUCGAACGGCAGCACGGACUUCGGUCUGGUGGCGAGUGGCGAACGGGUGAGUAAUGUAUCGGAAUGUGCCCAGUCGUGGGGGAUAACGUAGUGAAAAUUACGCUAAUACCGCAUACGAUCUAUGGAUGAAAGCGGGGGAUCGCAAGACCUCGCUCGAUUGGAGCGGCCGAUAUCAGAUUAGGUAGUUGGUGGGGUAAAGGCCCACCAAGCCAACGAUCUGUAGCUGGUCUGAGGGGACGACCAGCCACACUGGAACUGAGACACGGUCCAGACUCCUACGGGAGGCAGCAGUGGGGAAUUUUGGACAAUGGGCGAAAGCCUGAUCCAGCCAUUCCGCGUGCAGGAUGAAGGCCCUCGGGUUGUAAACUGCUUUUGUACAGAACGAAAAGGUUUCUACUAAUACUAGGAGCUCAUGACGGUACUGUAAGAAUAAGCACCGGCUAACUACGUGCCAGCCGCCGCAGUAA
rnacentral:rRNA from 1 species